rnacentral:rRNA from 1 species
UACGGGGUGCAGCAGCCGCGGUAACUUUGCAAUACACGAAAGUGUGACAGGGCUAUCCCGAGUGCCGUCCGCUGAGGAUGGCUUUUAACCAGUCUAGAAAGCUGGUAGAAUAAGGAGAGGGCAAGUCUGGUGUCAGCCGCCGCGGUAA